rnacentral:rRNA from 1 species
UACGAAGGGGACUAGCGUUGUUCGGAAUCACUGGGCGUAAAGCGCACGUAGGCGGAUUCGUAAGUCAGGGGUGAAAUCCCGGGGCUCAACCUCGGAACUGCCUUUGAUACUGCGGGUCUUGAGUCCGAUAGAGGUGGGUGGAAUUCCUAGUGUGGAGGUGAAAUUCGUAGAUAUUAGGAAGAACACCGGUGGCGAAGGCGGCCCACUGGAUCGGUACUGACGCUGAGGUGCGAAAGCGUGGGGAGCAAACAGG